rnacentral:rRNA from 2 species
CUUGGUGAUAAUGGAAAAAGGGGUACACCUGAUACCAUUCCGAACUCAGAAGUUAAGCCUUUUAUCUAUACGUAUUGUUGGUUUCAAUAUUUCUAGGU